rnacentral:tRNA from 1 species
GGUAGUAUGGCUGAGUAAGCGGUAGACUGUAAAUCUACACACAGGGUUAACCUUGCUGCCA